GCCGCGGUAAGAUGGAACAACUUUAUAAGAUAAUGGAUUUUACAAAUAAAGUGGUGACAUUUCUGAAAUCAUUAAAUGGAGCUAAUAAAAAGGACUCCAAUUCGAGUAAUAAUAAUAAUAAUAAUAAAAAUAGUAAUAGUAAUAGUAAUAAAAAAUAUAAUAAUAAUAAUAAUAAUAAUAAUAGUCAAGAUUAUAAUAAUAAUAUUAAUAAUAGUUAUAAUCAUACGACUUAUAAUAAUUGCCUCGUAAUAAACUUUGCUGGUUUCUAUAAUAUAUGUAAAAUCAUGAUAUUUUUUAUUAUUAUUAUUAUAUUUUAUUAUGUACGACAAUUUUAGUACUUAUAAUUUUAGUAGUGUUUUUUAUACUUUAAUUUUUUUCCAAUUUAUUAAUUUAACAUUGCUAUCUUUCUAUUGCUAUUUUACUAUUGCUAUUAAUAAUAAAUGAAACUGUACCAAAAAAAAAAAAAAAGGAUAAAAAUGAAUUCAUCAUUGAUUAAUUUGACUGUGAUUAAAGGCUCUAAACUACAGGGAUUUGCAAAGUCGGUCCUGUCGUGUCUUGCGGAUUUUAGCUUUAACUCUAAUCAAAACAGCAUGUCAGUUUCAAGUAAUGCUAACUUGGACCUAAAAUCUAGAGCAGGACACGCAGGACCGACGUUGCCCAUCCCUGUGAAUGACAAUUCAGCUCACCUCUGUAUUUGUAAAACUGUCCAUUGCCCGGCAGUUAAAGAGAGAGAGUACCUCACCCAAACAACAUCUUAUGUACUGUACUGAACAUGUGUUGGUCUAGAGAAGAUGUUUCGAAGUGAGUUGCAGAAGUGAUUUUGAAACGGAUCUUGGACAAAAACAUCAGUUCUUUAAGGAAAUUUGUACCCUCUGCAACUUCCUCUCAACAUCAUCUGAAACAUCCUUUAUCUACAGCAAGCAUUAUGGAUCAAGCCCUCAGUGCAGUCAAGACUCUCUCUCCAUAAAAUAGAAAAACUUGUUUUUUGUUUAUUGUUUAUUGAAUAUUGUUUUCAUUAAAAAGCAAAGAAACAA